CUGGAGUGACCCACAUGACUCCAGAACCCACUCAGUUGAUUACAUGGAAACUGUCUGGGACAAUUCCUGGAGGAAGGGUGGGGCUCACCUUCAGGCCUUUGCUUCUAUUGUCCAGGGAGAGGCAGAGAAGAGCCCUGGCCACCUUGAGCUGAGAUGCACUUCCCUGAGCCUGCACAGGCUCCCGACAGAAGCCCAAAGGCCUGGAGCCCUCACUGAGCAGCCAGGGAACCCAACCACCCAGACUGAGGUCAAAACCCCUGCCCUGAGGCUGUGUGUCAUGUAGAGGCCGAUCACAGGGAUCUUAAACCUCAGAGUGUGGAGGCCACUCUGCUUUAAGGCAGGCUCAGAGCUGAAGGUACACGGUCCCUUGUCCUCAGAAAGCUCACAAACGAAACCUCUACCACCACAAGACCUAUCAUCUGCGAUCAUGAGACCCCCAUCACACAAACUUUCCCGAAAACCCCUGAUAGGAAUCAGGUCAAUCGGCUCCAGCGUCCAAAAUAUCCAGAAUUGUACCUCUGUGCAAAACGAGGCGCUUUUCAGGGCUCGUCAUUGCUGCCCCGCUGCGCCUGGCUGACAAAGAGCCUUAGGACUGACCCAGUCCCCGUGAUUUCUGGCCAGAGGUGGCGGAUCCUCAC
rnacentral:lncRNA from 1 species